AUUAGCAUGCUGGUAACAGAAAGCAGCUAGCUCUCUGCAACUCUCAAUGGUCGACCACUGAAGCUAAGCAGGGCUGAGCCUCGUCAGAACCUGGAUUGGUGAACUCAUGGGAAAGCUGGGCUGCUGAUG
rnacentral:rRNA from 1 species